GUAAACUGGUUUCAGUUUUAUGGGGUCUAAAAUUCAUGCUCCCAGCUCCGUGAAAAGACAAAAUUACAGAUAAGGAGGGGGGGCGGGGGUGCCAUCUAGCUGCCAUUCAUUCACUUUAGAAACAAUACGCAAGGGUAUUAUCAUUCGCUGCAGUGUUUCUUUUAAUAUGAAGCAAGGAAAUCAGGAAAAUAAGUGAAGACACGUUUCUCUAAAUUCCUACUGUUGAAGAUUUUCGGUGCACACCAAGAGGUAUACAUACGAUUACAAAUGAAACACAUUGCUCUUCAAUAAAAGCUCUUCAAUAAAAUUUGUGCUGGGUAACAUAAAUACAUUGUUUUAAUUCACUUAACGACUACAAUAAUCGAAGGAAAGGCAUUUACACAUUUAAAAUGCAUAAUAAUGUUGGGUAUCAUGCUUAACAAUAGCUUAAUUAUAGCUCAAUAUUUUGCUCGAUUAAAUACACCAAAAAUAAGAGGGUUAUUACCGAUUGCCCACAAAGCAAGUUUACAUAGCAACAAUAUUUUUAACAUAAAAAUUAUUGGUUCAAUUUUUAUUAAACUUACAUAGAAUAAGUUCUUGGAUUGCCUGCAUUGACAAGGCCAAAGAACACCAGAAGUGACGAGGCAGCAAAAGUUGAUUGAAAUUGUUGGGAUUUGCAGUCGAACAUGAACAUCGUUUCAGCAUCCGCCAGUCUUGCUAUCGUUCUCCUUUUGCAAAAAGGGAGUGUUAUGAGUCACAGAAGUGAAUUUAAAGCGACAGGUUUGAUCACAUGAUGGCAGGACUAAAAGGAACAUUCCUGGAGCAAUGUGCAUUCAUAAUGCUGGCAAUCAAGGGCCUGUGAUUGGACAAAUGCCCUCAUAGCAGUUUUUGUUAUUGUUUUGUCGUGCAACUGAAGCAUGGUCUUGCAACAUUUGGGACUCUUCUCUCCGCGAGCUAACAUGUUAUUAUCUUUGAGCAACACCUUCGCAAAGGGGCGUGCUUUCCUGCAUGCUGUUGGCUUCAGUGCAUCUGAUUGGCUGCUCAAUCUGUGCUUCUAGUCUCAGUAGAUUUCUCUACCAAUCCGAAGCCCGCUGAACUCAAAGCAUGUAACGUCCCAAGGGCAACCUUGAACAUGGACAUCGCCCCAUCGGGACCUAGACUUUGAGGGAAUUUAUUAUGGGUUGGCCACAGAGGCGUGCAUUUCUUCCCGCCAUUUUUCAACAGAAUUCAUUGGCUGCAAACUGUUAACUCGACAAAAAGUAUAAUAUUAUUGGCUGAUUUCAAAUUCAAAAACCGUUGACCAACUUCAAGAGGAAUUUUAUUCAGCGUGGUUUUUUCUUUUCUUUGUGUUCAGGCCAACGUGUAAUACAGGCCUUUGGUAAACUAGGAAUGAUGUCGAACUCGACGAAACUGGAUUCACGGGAUAUUCUACAAAGGACAAGAAGAUUGAAAUGAACGUCAAAAGAAACCAGGUCAAAGGAUUUAACAUCCUAGAAUCCAUGCAAAAGACCUCGUGUCAGGCGAGUUUAUUUUAUUUUCUUUCCUUUUUUUCUCUCUGAGUGAUGAAAAUGAUUAAUGGCUCUGUUUGACCAUUAUACAAUAAAUAAUUUCAGCAGACACCUGUUGAGAUAAAGCGUUGGAACUAAUUUCUUGCGAAAGAAAAAAGGUGUCGUUUGACCUUAUAGAAGAAAUUGAUUCAGCAAAUUAUGCAAUUAUUUGUAAUUGAUUCAUUGUUUUGCUUUUCAAAGAUAUAUUUACUAUGUAGAUCACUUUGCUUACUCUGCUUUCUAUUUUUAUUUAAAGAAACUCAAGGUUUCAUCAUUUCAAAUUCUUCAAAUGAAUAUAAAAAAUUGUUGUUGAUUUCACUUUUGCCAUUAGAUCGAACAUAGUGGUUCUCAUAUUAACCUUUUGAAAAUUACUGCAUCUUUAGAAAUUUGUGGAGUGGUUCUGAUAUUAACCUUUUGAAAAAUACUGCAUCUUUAGGAAUUUGUGGAGUGGUUCUCAUAUUAACCUUUUGAAAAAUACUGCAUCUUUAGGAAUUUGUGGAGUGGUUCUCAUAUUAACCUUUUGAAAAUUACUGCAUCUUUAGAAAUUUGUGGUUCUCAUAUUAACCUUUUGAAAAUUACUGCAUCUUUAGGAAUUUGUGGAGUGGUUCUCAUCUUAACCUUUUGAAAAUUACUGCAUCCUUAAAAAAUUAUGGAUUGGCUCAAGCCUUUUAGCCUCCACGCUUUCUCAGUCCCCGCUACAAAUAAUUUAAAAAGGGAACAGUAACAGUUUAAUAAUUAAACAGGAUAAACAAAGCAAACUAUUAAACAUUAUUCUAAAUGCAGAUCUGUAAUAUCUUAAAGAAAUAUCUUCCAGAAGGAAUUCGUUUACAAGCAUAUGACAGUUGACAAGGUACCAUUAAAGAACACUCAAAAUUUAUUGAAUGGCGAAAUGUCUCCUAUUAAAUUGACUAUAUCAAAUUUGUCAGAAAACAAAAUAUCAUUAAUGAUUGUGUUGUUCAUUAUUCAUAAAAAGAACAGCUAGAAACAUAAAGACAAGGAAAAAUAAAAAAAUUAUUUUAAAUAUUUAAUCAUAUUAUGAAAUUCGAAGGUACAUUGUUUAAAAAACUUUGGAAGUUAAAAAACUAUGGCAGUUGAAAGUCGGUGUAAAAGAGGCUGAGUUCAAAGUUUUUUUAACAUACGAAAGAGAAGGACAAUUGCCCCUGCUGCGCCAAUAACAUUCCAUUGUUUAAAAAAUAGGUUAUUGUCUUCCUCUCCAUCUGAAAAAAGGUUUGCACCGCAGAUAUUUAUGAACAGCCUGAUAUGAUUCUUCGUUGAAGGUCCUUCUUAAAUGAAAUUUUUUUUUGUCGAACUACUUACGGCAAAAAGAAAAACAAAGUCGGUUAAACUGAUAAAUGUUCUUUCUUGUGUUUAUAGAAUAACUCAAAUAAUUCUUCGUUAAAGGUCCAUCUUAAAUUUGUUACGUUUUGUCUAACUACUUGUGAAGAAAAAAAAUAGCUGGUUAAACUGAUAAAUGGUCCUCUGUUGUAUAUGUUGUAUAUAUUUCAAACAUUAAAUAAUUCUUUCUUAAAAAUCCAUCUAAAAUAAUUUCUAUUUGGUCGAACUAAUUACGGCAAAAAGAAAACAUGGUUGGUCAAACUGAUAAAUGGUUCUUUCUUGUGUUUAUGGAAAACCUAAAAUGAUUCUUCGUUGAAGGUCCAUCUUAGUUGAAUAGUGUUUAAUCGAACUACAGUAGAAACCCGCAUAAAAGAACCUGUUUUUAUAAGAACAUUGAGGCUGCAAUUUAACCUUCAAAUCCCCAUAAUUAAGAAACUCCAAGAGGCUGAAGAUUGGGAGGGUUCUUAAAUAUAUAAAAGAUGAAAUGGUUUUUAGAGUAAACCAGGUUAUGGUAUGUUGUAUGCUACUUGGACAGUCUCACAGAACAAAUUCAUUAGAUUGGUUGAAAUUUAACAUAAAAAAGCUGGUUCAAGUGUGUCCAUUAGAAUUUUUGCGGUGGAAAACAUUGUUAAUGUAUGCAAGUCCUGUACGUAUAGGAGACUCGUUAAGAAACUUUUAGACUGAAAUUUAGAAUAGCAGCCUGUUAAUUAGGAACCUAUUCAGGCUGCCUGAUAAAAACUUAGGUUCCUUUAUGCGCGUUUGUACUGUACUUACGAAGAAAAGAGAAAAAUAGCUGCUUAAACUGAUAAAUGGUUCAUUCAUAAAUUUCUUAAAAGACUGAAAUGGUUCUUUGUUUAAUGUCCACCUUUAAUAUGUUGCUUAUGGUCCAAAUACGUGCGGUGGAAGGAAAAAAAGGCUGGUAAACUAAUGAAUGGUCCUUCAUUGUCCUUAAAGAAAACCUUGAAUGAUUCUUCGUCAAAGAUCGAUCUUAACAGUGUUGCGUUUGGUCCAAAUAUGUGCGGUGGAAAGAAAACAUGGCUCGUUAAACUGAUAAAUGGUCUUUCUUGUGUUUAAAGAAUACCUCAAAUGAUUCUUCGUUAAAGGUCCAUCUUAAAUGAAUCUUUGUUUUCGAACGACUUACGGCAAAAAGAAAACAUGGUCGGCUGAACUGAUAAAUGGUCCUUUCUCGUGUUUAUGGAAAACCUUAAAUUAUUCUUCAUCAAAGGUCCAUCUUAACUGUUUUUCGUUUGGUCCAAAUAUGUGCGGUGGAAAGAAAACAUGGCUCGUUUAACUGAUAAAUGGUCUUUCUUGUGUUUAUAGAAUACCUCAAAUGAUUCUUCGUUAAAGGUCCAUCUUAAUUGUGUUGCGUUUGCUCCAAAUAUGUGCGGUGGAAAGAAAACAUGGCUGAUUAAACUGAUAAAUGGUCUUUCUUGUGUUGAUAGAAUACCUCAAAUGAUUCUUCGUUAAAGGUCCAUCUUUACUGUAAUGCUGUAAACUAAACUUUUUCUGGUGAUCUUUUGUGCGGCUUCCUCGUGAGGAAUAUAAACAGCUUGUUUACCAAUCUAAGAUAUUCUUGGCUAUCUAGACAAGACUCUAAUCGUAUAUGACUAUGUUAAAGAGCAUCAAGAGCUGUUUUAAUCUAUGUUGUGCUAGAGAGGGCUUAUCUUGGUAUUGUACUUAAUCUCAUUCGCUGCUGCUUUCUAUUGGCCGUUGAUAUAUUUUGUCAGAGUUUUACAGAUAGCUAUCUUUGUUUCUCAUCGUUUUCUCCUUUGAAUGGUUGAUUCUUAUUGAAUUCUGACUAUUGCUUGAAAGUUUACGAUGGACUUGUUGUUGUAACAAAAUUAUCUUGCUGUAAACUCUUGGUUUUGGCAUUUUAACAGCUAAACUGAUAAAUUGUUAAUUCUUGUAUUUUUAAAAAGCCUGAAAUGGUUCUUUGUUGAAAGUCCAUCUUUAAUGAGUUGCGUAUGAUGGAACUACUCACGACAAAAAGAAAACAUGGUUGGUCAAACUGAUAAAUGGUUCUUUCUUGUGUUUAUGGAAAACCUCAAAUGAUUCUUUGUUAAAGGUCCAUCUUAACUGUGUUUCGUUUGGUCCAAAUAUGUGCGGUGGAAAGAAAACAUGGAUGGUUAAACUGAUAAAUGGUCUUUCUUGUGUUUAUAGAAUACCUCAAAUGAUUCUUUGUUAAAGGUCCAUCUUAACUGUGUUUCGUUUGGUCCAAAUAUGUGCGGUGGCAAGAAAACAUGGAUGGUUAAACUGAUAAAUGGUCUUUCUUGUGUUUAUAGAAUACCUCAAAUGAUUCUUCGUUAAAGGUCCAUCUUAAUUGUGUUGCGUUUGCUCCAAAUAUGUGCGGUGGAAAGAAAACAUGGCUGAUUAAACUGAUAAAUGGUCUUUCUUGUGUUUAUAGAAUACCUCAAAUGAUUCUUCGUUAAAGGUCCAUCUUUACUGUAAUGCUGUAAACUAAACUUUUUCUGGUGAUCUUUUGUGCGGCUUCCUCGUGAGGAAUAUAAACAGCUUGUUUACCAAUCUAAGAUAUUCUUGGCUAUCUAGACAAGACUCUAAUCGUAUAUGACUAUGUUAAAGAGUAUCAAGAGCUGUUUUAAUCUAUGUUGUGCUAGAGAGGGCUUAUCUUGGUAUUGUACUUAAUCUCAUUCGCUGUUGCUUUCUAUUGGCCGUUGAUAUAUUUUGUCAGAGUUUUACAGAUGGCUAUCUUUGUUUCUCAUCGUUUUCUCCUUUGAAUGGUUGAUUCUUAUUGAAUUCUGACUAUUGCUUGAAAGUUUACGAUGGACUUGUUGUUGUAACAAAAUUAUCUUGCUGUAAACUCUUGGUUUUGACAUUUUAACAGCUAAACUGAUAAAUUGUUAAUUCUUGUAUUUUUAAAAAGCCUGAAAUGAUUCUUUGUUGAAAGUCCAUCUUUAAUGAGUUGCGUAUGAUGGAACUACUCACGACAAAAAGAAAACAUGGUUGGUCAAACUGAUAAAUGGUUCUUUCUUGUGUUUAUGGAAAACCUCAAAUGAUUCUUUGUUAAAGGUCCAUCUUAACUGUGUUUCGUUUGGUCCAAAUAUGUGCGGUGGAAAGAAAACAUGGAUGGUUAAACUGAUAAAUGGUCGUUCUUGUGUUUAUAGAAUACCUCAAAUGAUUCUUCGUUAAAGGUCCAUCUUAAUUGUGUUGCGUUUGCUCCAAAUAUGUGCGGUGGAAAGAAAACAUGGCUGAUUAAACUGAUAAAUGGUCUCUCUUGUGUUUAUAGAAUACCUCAAAUGAUUCUUCGUUAAAGGUCCAUCUUUACUGUAAUGCUGUAAACUAAACUUUUUCUGGUGAUCUUUUGUGCGGCUUCCUCGUGAGGAAUAUAAACAGCUUGUUUACCAAUCUAAGAUAUUCUUGGCUAUCUAGACAAGACUCUAAUCGUAUAUGACUAUGUUAAAGAGCAUCAAGAGCUGUUUUAAUCUAUGUUGUGCUAGAGAGGGCUUAUCUUGGUAUUGUACUUAAUCUCAUUCGCUGUUGCUUUCUAUUGGCCGUUGAUAUAUUUUGUCAGAGUUUUACAGAUGGCUAUCUUUGUUUCUCAUCGUUUUCUCCUUUGAAUGGUUGAUUCUUAUUGAAUUCUGACUAUUGCUUGAAAGUUUACGAUGGACUUGUUGUUGUAACAAAAUUAUCUUGCUGUAAACUCUUGGUUUUGACAUUUUAACAGCUAAACUGAUAAAUUGUUAAUUCUUGUAUUUUUAAAAAGCCUGAAAUGAUUCUUUGUUGAAAGUCCAUCUUUAAUGAGUUGCGUAUGAUGGAACUACUCACGACAAAAAGAAAACAUGGUUGGUCAAACUGAUAAAUGGUUCUUUCUUGUGUUUACGGAAAACCUCAAAUGAUUCUUUGUUAAAGGUCCAUCUUAACUGUGUUUCGUUUGGUCCAAAUAUGUGCGGUGGAAAGAAAACAUGGAUGGUUAAACUGAUAAAUGGUCUUUCUUGUGUUUAUAGAAUACCCUAAAUGAUUCUUUGUUAAAGGUCCAUCUUAACUGUGUUUCGUUUGGUCCAAAUAUGUGCGGUGGCAAGAAAACAUGGAUGGUUAAACUGAUAAAUGGUCUUUCUUGUGUUUAUAGAAUACCUCAAAUGAUUCUUUGUUAAAGGUCCAUCUUAACUGUGUUUCGUUUGGUCCAAAUAUGUGCGGUGGAAAGAAAACAUGGAUGGUUAAACUGAUAAAUGUUCUUUCUUGUGUUUAUAGAAUACCUCAAAUGAUUCUAUGUUAAAGGUCCAUCUUUAAUGAAUCUUUGUUGUCGCACGACUUACGGCAAAAAGACGACAUGGUCGGUUAAAUUGAUAAAUGUUCCUUGCUUGUGCUCAAAGAAAAACAUUCAAUAAUUCUUCGGUAAAGUUCCAUCUUGAACGAAUUGUGUUUGGUCAAUCUACUGACAGUGAAAAGAGUUGCGUUUGGUCGAACCAUGUGUGGUGAAAAGAAAAUAUGGCUGUUGAAACUGACUAAUGGUCCUGGCUUCUCUUUAUUAAAAGUCAUAAAUAUCUCUUGGUUCAAGGUCCAUCUUAAAGGUGCUUUUUUUUGUCAAAAUUCGCUAAUUGAAUACAACACCGGGGUUUUAAAACUGUUGAAUGCUCUAUCCCUGUAGUGAAAAAGGUGAGUUUAUACUUUGUUCUUGGUUAAAGAGCCAUGUUUGGUCAACAUUUGUUUGAUGGUGGGAAAAAAGGACUAUUUCAUUUAACUUUUUUUUAUUUAAAAAUUUGCAUAAAUUCUUGAAAUGUUGAUUGGUGAAAAGUUCUUGAUAAAGAGGCAUUGAAUGCUGAUAAUAGUCAAAUUAUAUAUCUGACUAUAUAUCUGAAAACUAUAAAUUAUUUUUCGAUUCAAAGCAGCAGCAAUUUUGAAGUUAACUUGAUAAAGUAAAAAAUUGAAGAAAAUAUUAGUCUAGCUAUAAAAGUCUGCAUAUUCUAGCUAUAAAAUAAAGUACCCAUUGACAACAGUUUUCAAAGAACAAUGAAUCUAACUUUUUUUAAGAGUUCUUUUUAAGCAUUGGCUGCCAAGAGCCUUCAACUCAAGAUGUGGUAAUGUAACCAGCUCAAGUGGUAAUCUUUAUGGGUAUUUUUUUAUAUAUAUUAUAUUACAUCAGAUUAUGAUCAUUUAUGGUUGAAAUUCAAACAGAGAUCUUUAAAUUGCAGAAUUCUAACGGAAAGUAAACGCUUUUGCAUAGUACUUGAUAGAAUAUUUUCCAAUGAAACCUGGACAGAUAUAUUAUUAAAAGUGAUAUUUAUUCGUGAUCUUAAUGUUGCUGUGAAAGUAGAAAUAUUUCUGUUUAAUAAAAUUAGAGCUAGGAGAAAAAAUUCAACUUGUUAAUCUCCAGAUCUAGAACAACUUUAAUUGCAAUAUUUUUCCACCAUGUAAAGCAGAUUUGCCAACAGAUUUAAUUGCUUGAAAUAACUUCUUAUUCAUGCAUACCAUAGAGCUGGACACCGUGGCGAGUUGACUGGAGACUGCUGCAAAAAGGCGAAAUGGCAAUUCCUGUUGCCAACGAAGCUAAAGAGCCAACAGACGAUAAUUAAAUGGAGAUAAAUGCUGUUUAGCUGAAGAGUCGAAAAAGAUCGAUAUGAAAAAUAUGAUUCUUUGGAACUCAGAGACAUGACAUUCCAAUGCCGAAAAAGCUAUUGAGCAGAA